rnacentral:rRNA from 1 species
GACGAACGCUGGCGGCGUGCUUAACACAUGCAAGUCGAGCGGAGCGGCGAACGGGUGAGUAACGCGUGAGUAACUGCCCCCCUCUAUGGGUAAACAGUUGGAAACGGCUGCUAAUACCGGAUAGUGGGGGAUGACUCGCGUCCUAUCAGCUUGUUGUUGGGGUAGUGGCCUACCAAGGGGACGCCGGGUAGCCGGCCUGAGAGGGCGACCGGCCACAUUGGUCUUAGAUACGGCCGAAACCCAUACGGGAGGCAGCAGUGGGGAAUAUUGCACAAUGGGGGAAACCCGGAUGCAGCAACGCGCGUGCGGGAUGACGGCCGUAUGGUUGUAAGCCGCUUUCAGCCAGGACGCGGUAGUGGCAGAAGAAGCGCCGGCGAACUACGUGCCAGCAGCCGCGGUAAUUC